UGCCUUGCUCGUCCCUCUGUGAUUUGUACAAGCCCGCGUUCUCAGCCGCCUCCUCUCCGGCUGUCUGGACUUGUACUCACAGUGUCCACGCCCAGUUAGCCCUCCCCAGGCUCACUGUUGGAGCCCGGGAGCUCAGGCUCUGGGGUGUAUUUGAUUCUUUCAUGUGAAGACCCAGAUCCCGUCACAAAGGUUUCCUCUUCCUUGGCCCCGCCCACACCGUGGUCUUCCUGUCUCCCACUCUGUGUCUGUGUGUGUGAUGGGACGGACUGGGGUCCUGACAAUGGGCGUGCUUCCUUGGCCUGACCCUGUAUGCAGCUUGACUGGGUGCUGGUUGGUCAGACAUUCUCAUUGGCCAGUGUUGCUCCCCACGUGGCCUCUCGAUGUAAUCACUUUCCCUCUUCAUAUGCGUAGGUGACUUAUUAGUUGCUCGUUUAACUUGAUAGUGAUUUCACCGAGCUACACUCCUUCCAUUCCAUCAUUGCUGGCACCUCUUGAAAAAAGGAAACCACCACCACCCAACAGCAAGAGCAGUAGCUGCGAACAGGAACUCCAGGAUGGGAAGGUUUCUAUUGUUAUACCUAAAAUGUAAAUAUCUGGUUCCUAGAAUUAGUGGUAGAGUUUGUAGUUGAAUCAUUUACAUAAAUGCAAACAGACGGUGAACUUGAAAGGCCGCAGAGAUUUGGGUCAAGGUUGUGCCUAGUUUUAGUUGGCCAGGUAAAUUUCUUCCUUUUGAUGAGUGGCACUACCAGACUGGUAGCAAAGAGGAUGUCGCUUCGUGAAAGUUCUGUUUCUUAGUGAACUGAUCUGUCGGUCACAGCAUGGAGCUGUCGACUCACCAGAGGUGGCAAAGCUUCUCUCGAGCCUGUCUUCCAAUGUAUGAGAGAAUGAUCUUGGCCAGUCUGGGAAAAAUCCCGAAGGCAUCCUGCCUCUUACUGGGCAAAGAUGCAGGGCCAGAGAGCUGAACCCCAACCUGUUAUCCUUGUAUCAAAGCCGAACGGGGGCCCACCUACCAUCAGCUCUGAAUGGUGACUGCUUUUGUUCCCUUACGGAAUCACGUGCCCAGGUCAGAAGCUGUAGUUACCUAGUACUUCUGUUAUGUAACCGAGUAGAAUGCAGGAGGAAAAAUAUUUAGGGUACCUCUAACCACUAUUUUUGUGCAAAUAGUCUACAAGUGGAAAACGGUAGAAGUUUUCUACGAUGUCUGGGUUUAGUGUGUACAUGAUGUAAUAUACCUGUGUCCUUUUCAAUGAAAGCAAAACAACCGCCUCUCCUAAUAGCUGGGAAGAGGAAACCAGGUUGUUCUGAUGCAUCAUCUGCCUGGAAAGGCUGAAUCACAGCUCUUAGUACCAGUGGAUUUGGCUGUUCUCACUUUGCAGUCAGUGUCUCUCUAUGACUCUGAAGUCUUCCCCACAGAUAACCGUUUCAGAAAUACAGAUCAUUAAAAGCUGGCACUGAGGGAUUCCCUAUCAUGCUGCUGCUGCUGCUAAGUCGCUUCCAGUCGUG
ensembl:lncRNA